CGUCGAGGACGUGGCAUACGGCGUCCGCACGUGAAAACUCGUGUCACGUGGCUACUGAAUCGCAAACGUGCUCUCGACAUUCGUGAAUAUUAAAAGAUAUAAGAUAUAAUAAAAGGAUUGAAGAGCAAUAGAGCCGAAAUGUUAAACUAAUUGAUACGCAAACGCAAUUUUAUAGUCGGAAAUAAAAAUAGGUAAAAGAACUUUGCUGAAUUUGAAAGUAUCUUUUUUUUUCCAAAAAAAUAUUUUAUUUAGCUCAUCUCUCGAUUAAUUACCUGUUUGGUAAUUAAACGAUUCAACAAUUGAUGCGAUUUUUCUCAUCAGUGUACAAUAAAAUAGCAAAUAAAUAGAUCAUAUGUUUGGAAAUUAUGUGCUGAUUAAUGUUGACGUUUGACUUUAUAUCCAUGACAAGUGUAAUUGUCAGUGGCAAUCGCUGGCAAUAGAUUGUUAUAAGUGUAAAAGAGAGAGAGAUACCGCAAUGAUUGAUCUCCGUAAUUUUAAAUGAUUAUUUGGGCUGCGUUGUUCCUUAUCAAAGAAUUCGAACCAAUUAUCAUUAGACAACGAAGACACCACGCCAGGUGCUAAAUGCAUUCUCAUGAAAACAUUUCCUACUUGCAAAAGCAACGAUCUGAUUUAAAAAAUGACGAAUACAAUUGCCAAGAAAAUUGCAUGAUUAAAAUAUGUUGUUGAAGAUAAAGCUACAAAAAUUUCCAUAAUGAUUAGCGAGUCCGACUGGAAAGAGAAUGAUACCAGCAAUCGUCAUAGGAAUGCGACAAUGCUGAUUCGUCAGAAGGAGCUCGGAACGGGAUUGUAUCGAGAGAACUGUUCAAACUUUGAAAAGUAUCUCUCUCGACUUAAAAACGGCGCAGAUCAUGAUCUGGCAUUUGGCAAUAGAUAGAAUUUGUUUACAUCGUAGUUCCAAACUUUUUAGCGCUCUUCGUUUCGACGUCCGGAACUUGUCGCGACGCUUGAAUUAACUUAAGAAUGAGACACGUGGCAAUAUUAUGGGACACUUCGAGAACUGUUUAGAGAACGGUUUAUCCAGGCGGACGUCUAAGAAGUCCUGCGAGAAGGCGUCGCGUCGUCUGAGAUCCCUGAUUGCCAAGGCCAGAAGAUGGGGUCUGACGACCGAGGAAGUUACCGAAUUAUCGGCGAUAAAGAGAUUGAUAGCUAAAAAUCGCGUCAUCCCGAGAUCGGCCACAUGGACGACCUUGGCUAUGAUCGUCCUGGUUUUCGGCGGUGGCAUCGUCCUUGCGUACAUUUGCGCACCUUGUAUCACGAGGAACAGGACGUGAGAUCGUCCCGCGAUGCGCGGGAUUCGCUAGGGAAUCGUUGCUGCAAAUAGAUUAUCGAUGCGGCAAGCAAAAUACAUAAAGCCAGUGCAUGCGAUUGUAUGAAGCAUAUAUAUGUACACAAAAAUACUUAUAAGAUUAAGUCUAAUUUAUUUAUACAAUAAGCAACGUCUGCGCGCACGUUAUCGCAAAAAUUUGUCAUAAAUUUAUCAAUUGCAUGUCGAUUAAGAAGAAAUAAGAACGUAAUUGAAACGUAUCUUUUUUACAUGACGUACAUAUGUAAGAACAGUAAUGAUAUAAUAUUCCGAAUUUAUAAAUAGAUUGAAAGAAUAUUGUUGCUUAAAUGUGAAUUGAACGUGAAAUAAAAAUUGUCGCUUGAAUUACGUUUUUAUUUAUUGCCGACAUUAUCGGCAAUACAUUUAAGCAAAUCUAUCGUCAAAGAAAAUUACUUUAGCAAUUUUAAUUUUAAGAUAACAUCAUAUGUGUUUAUUUUAGACUUAUAA
rnacentral:lncRNA from 1 species